AUUGAACGCUGGCGGCAGGCCUAACACAUGCAAGUCGAACGGAGGACGAGACGCGGGCGUGAGACCUAGGAAUGUGCCUGGUAGUGAUGGAUAACGUCCGGAACCGGGCGCUAUUACCGCAUCCUAACACCUUAGCAUAGGUCGGAUUGGCUAGUUGGUGGGGUAAAGGCCUACCAAGGCGACGAUCCGUAACUGGUCUGAGAGGAUGACCAGUCACACUGGAACUGAGACACGGUCCAGACUCCUACGGGAGGCAGCAGUGGGGAAUAUUGGACAAUGGGCGAAAGCCUGAUCCAGCCAUGCCGCGUGUGUGAAGAAGGUCUUCGGAUUGUAAAGCACUUUAAGUUGGGAGGCGUUACCAACAGAAGAAGCACCGGCUAACUCCGUGCCAGCAGCCGCGGUAAUUC
rnacentral:rRNA from 1 species